GUGCCAGCAGCCGCGGUAAGACAGAGGGUGCAAACGUUGCUCGGAAUCACUGGGCAUAAAGCGCACGUAGGCCGUCUACUAAGUCCAAUGUGAAAUCCCCCGGCUCAACCGGGGAACUGCAUCGGAUACUGGUGGACUCGAGAGUUGUAGGGGUGGACGGAACUCCAGGUGGAGCGGUGAAAUGCGUAGAUAUCUGGAGGAACACCGGAGGCGAAAGCGGUCCACUGGGCAACUUCUGACGCUGAGGUGCGAAAGCUAGGGUAGCAAACGGGAUUAGAUACCCUUGUAGUCC
rnacentral:rRNA from 1 species